GAUAAAUAUAGAUAUACCUGUGUUUAUUCAGAAAUAUGAUGGAGGGGACACGAAGUAUUUUUAAGUUUAUUAAACAUGAAAAUAGACCAGCUUCAACCAAUAAACAGAUUACUGAAAAGAAAGCAGAAUAUGAAUCAGAUAGGGAGUCUUUAUCAUCUUCUUCCAGAACGGGAAGCUUUAGGGAUCAUUUAUUUUCAGACAUUGAUCGUCUUUUUCU